UCGCUAUUUACCAUUUAACAUCAUACAACCACGCUUUUUGCAUUUGAUUUGCAACCAACAGUGUAUUGUUAGCUUGGUCAUAAUGCAAAGCCUGCGGAUAGUUCAGUCCAUCGUCGGAUGAUAAAAUUUGUUUAAAGUGUUGUCCAUCAGGAGAGAAGGCGACCACAUUAUGAGUUAUCCUUCCCACUACAAACACGAUACCAUCAAUGUCUACUGAAAUAGCAUAAGGACACCCAAGAACAAGGGAGUUACGGAACGUCCACAGUAUUUUACCGUGGAAAUCACAACAUAUUACACGGUGAUUGUGUGGGUCUGUGUAGAACAGUUUGUCACCAAAUGUUGUAACGUAUGCAUAUUGUGAUAGUUUGUUGAAGGAAAUAAAGGUAAUGGAUUCAUCGUUUAACCUAAUCAUCUUCAAGCCACUGUUACCUGCACAAUAAAUCAAAUGUUCAUCCUUGCACACUACUCCAUGAUUUUCUUUAUUAACUUUAAUUGCUUUUUUCACUUGUUUCGUCUUUAUGUCGAUUAUCUUAAUCUGAUCUGUAUAGCCUGAUGUAACGGCAACCGAUUCAUCACCAAUAAAUGCAACAUCAAACGUGUCACCUAUUUUGUUUAUUUCGAAAUCCUUUGAACCGUCAGAUGUGAGUACUAAUAUCUUCUGUCUGUAAGCACAGGUUAGUAUCAUCCUACCGUCAGGCAGCGCAGAACAACCACUGGCGUUAAAAAUAUCUGUAGAGAUGCGUGUCUUUAACGUCAGAGUAAGGUUGUCUAUUUUUCUGGUUGUAAAUGCUAUGAUUAUCUGGGCUUGUCUGUGCUUCUGGUUCUGAAUCAACGAAUCGCAUUGAUCAGAACUGACAGUGAUAUCGCCAAACUUAUGCACGCUGAACGUGAGUUCCUGUAAAGUUUGGUUCAUUUGGAAUAAAAUGUUGGUUUGACUCUUGGUGUCGAUUGCAAUCGAUUGAGUAUAUUUUUCUUUUGCUGAAAUUUCUUUUUCAAUAUGUUUCAAUACCAAAUAUGUUUGCAGUUCGGACGCAUGUAGUUUGAUGUUAGCAACUAUACCUUGGUAUUCUAUGAUCUCUUUUUCCUUCGUGCUGAGAGAGUUCAACAACUUUUGUAUUUUACUUCUUUCUUUUUCUUCAACUGCAAUAACUUCUUUCAUCAAAUCAUCUUGAAGUUUAUCAAGAUGACGAUUUAUCUCAGUCCUAGUUUGUUUUAUCUCUGCUUCAAUAUCUCUUUUCUUCUUUUCUAGCAAUGUUAAAUUUUCAUUUCGAUUGACCGUAAUUAGUUUGAUAUUUUUGACAAUUUCAUGCAAGUUUUGUUCGAUUUCAUACAAGGCAUUCGACGUUUUGAUGUUUUUUAUGAUUGUUUUAAUGUCGGUUAAAGCUUGACAAUCGGUAUGAGAUUUUAAACAUUUCUUGCAGCAUGGACAAUCAUGUCUGCUACAGAAAAGCUCGUAUUUCUCACUAUGUAAUUUACAAACUGUUGCAUUUUGCAGGACUUCGGUUGACAGCUUCCCGUAUUCGGCAAUUGCAACGGUUUUGUGGUCUUUUGUUCCCUUUGAAAUACUAUGAUGUUCCUUACAAUCGCCGCAAAGUCCUUCAUCACAAUCCGAACACCAGACUACCGAUGGUUUGCUUAUCUGACUAUUAUCACAUACACCACAAAUUCUCAAAUUACUGGCCAUGAUUC
rnacentral:lncRNA from 1 species